rnacentral:rRNA from 1 species
CUAACGACUGAACCAGCAACUUGGAGGAACACGCAUGGCUACCUUCGAAAGGAAGGUUUUGUCUCGUUAGAACAUGCACUGGAUACUUUAAUGUAUAUAUAGUUCUAGAUAGAUAAAUGAUAAAUGACAACUUUCUAUCUAUGUUGUCUUGACCAAAUCUUGUGCCAGCAGUCGCGGUAAUACAAGGGAGACUAGUGUUAUUCAUCUUUAUUAGGUUUAAAGGGUACCUAGACGGUGUAUCUAGCCUGCGAGGGAACGGAUACGACUAGAGUUUUAUGUGGGAGGUAAAUAUCGUACUAUGUGUGUAGAGAUGAAAUUCUUUGAUAAUACGUAGGACAGGUAAUGGUGAAAGCAAUCCUCUAUGUAAAAACUGACGUUGAGGGACGAAGGCUUGGAUAGCGAACAGGAUUAGAUACCCUAGUAGUCCUUGCAGAAAAUGAUGAAUGCCAUAAGUUAGAUACUAAAAAGGAAGGAUCAAGUUUUGUAAGACUAUCCUUCUAUUUUAUUUGGCUUAUAAAUGAAAGUGUAAGCAUUCCACCUCAAGAGUAAUGUGGCAACGCAGAAACUGAAAUCAUUAGACCGUUUCUGAAACCAGUAGUGAAGUAUGUUAUUUAAUUCGAUAAUCCUCGAAAAACCUUACCACAAUUUGAAUGUUCAUUACUAUUAAUGAAUACAAGCGUUGCACGGCUGUCUCCAGUUAAUGUCGUGAGACCUGGUUAGAUCCUUUAAAUUAACGCAAGCCCUAUCUUUAUUUAUUCAGAAUAAUGAUGCUCAUCGCUAUAUUGAAUAUCAUAAAAGGGAUUAAGACAAGUCAUCAUGACCUAAACUCAAUUGUGGGCUAUAGACGUGCCAC